CAUGAAAAUUCCUGAUCUAGGGGAGCCAAACUGGAGCUACAGUUGCAAGCCUACAUCACAGCCAUGGCAACACCAGAUCUGAGCUGCAUCUGUGAACUUUGCCACAGCUUAUGGCCAUGCCAGAUCUUUAACCUAUUGAGCAAGGACUGGGACUGAACUCACUUCCUCAUAGAAAUUAUGUUAGGUCCUUAAGCCACUGACCCAUACUGGGAACUCCUCUAGUAACAGUUUGAUCUAACAGAACACAGGAUGAAGAGGUAAAUGUCCUCAGAAAGGAACACUGAUGACAACUUUAUUAAUCAGAGAUUGAAAACACAAAUAUUGAAAACUCAUGAUUUGUGCAUGCUAAAGCCACGUAUAUUUAAUGUAUUAGACAAAAUGUUCAUCAAAUGUUAGAUUUUACUAACAAGAGGACUUUUUACACAUCUGCUUUGCUUACCUGAUAUUCCCACAUAGCUAAUUACGUAAUUAAGGAUCAAGUUUCAUGCCUUUAAUAUAGAGAUAGUGCUUAUCAGGGUUGUUUUGAAAUUUAUGAUAAUGCCUAUAAAGUGCUAAAAUGAAAUUUAAAGUAUAUUGUAAGUUGUGAGCUCUUUUACUAAGUCAACAACUGUCAUUCUUUGUAAAAGCAAAGUACUCAAUUUAGGAAUUUGCUAAUUGUUCUUCCAAAUUACAUUAUUAAUGCACGGCAUUUUAAGUAGUUCAAAUAGAUUAAAAAAAUAAUAUGCCUAAAGUGAUAAAAUGUAGCUACUUUCCCAUAUUCCAGAGAACAUCCUAGUUUCUAAAAAAUCAAAGUAAAGUUAUACAAUGAAAAUAGCUAGAUUUGUAAAAAGUACAUCAAUGCCCAGUAGUGAAUCAAAUUCUUUUGUUUUGCAGUAUUUGUAAGUGCAAUGUGUUGAGCAAUCACUUCUUAUACAAAGUCCCAGAUGCCUGAUGAAAUGUGCAAACAAGAUUCUCUGCCCUGUACAAGUUAGAGACUGUGGCAUGACCAUUUGGCGUAACACUUUGGUUCUAAAGUUUGUCAACUUUUGGCUUGUAGGUGCAAUCUGAUCUCUAAAAUCUGCCAAUUUAAUCAAAUGCAUCCCCAUAUCUACUCAAAUUACCAGGAGCGGUAAUUUUAAUUAUUAAAAACUUAUUCCCUGCACCCAUUUGAAAAAUGUGAUGAAAGUUAUGUCUUCUCUGUAUACACACACGUACGCACACACAAUGUUGCAGGUUGCUUCAGGAAUUAGCCAUCCACAUAUUAGAGAGUAAGCACUCUUGAUACAGAAGCAGGUGUGUGCUUGUGCAUUCAGGAAGGGUAAAUGGUGAGUUUCAUCUAUGUCACAUUCAUCUUUAUAUAGCUUGUGACUAGCACAGUGGCUUGACAAGAUAGGCUCUCAAUAAAUGUUGGAUCAAUAGAAGAGCGAGUAAAAAAUAAGGUAUAAAGAAUAGGUCAAGGACAGCAGAGGAGUCUUGACUCUCUAUUUUGCAAAAGAAUAAUCAAAUCCUCCCUUAAAAAUAUUUAUUCCCUACAAGAUAGGCAUUCUUUUAAGCUGUAAUGAUACCCUCUUAACACUUCCACAUUACUCUAGGAGCUUGGAAGAGUUAACACAGUUUCACAUAGUGACUGAUUUACAGCAGGGAAAGAAAUUGUGUCUGGGAUGUAUGAAUCUCUAGAGAUCACAGGUUUUACUUGGCUGAGCUGAGUGAUGUGUCGAUUCUUGACUCAUUCACAGGUAACAUUCUUGUUUGCUGAGCAGUGACAUCACACAGCAAUUUACUGCAAACCGCAGAGGGCUAAACAUGCUCCCUGUCCACUAGGACUGUCUGACAGCUCCUGGCAUGUGGGCAAAAGAAGUCACUCACUAACUCACCAUCAUCUCUUUUAAGCAGGGACAUUUUCUGUGACAAUAUUUUAAACCACAUUUGUUGGUAUACCCACCUAAUUUGUCUGUUGAUAGAAACUUACCCUGGAAUUUCUGUCAGCCCUACCAAUUCCCCUGACACCACUGAUAUUCCAAGGAAACCCCAAAUCUCCAGAGAAGAUGUAGUCAAGCUCUUGUUGACAAAUUUCUAGUGUGUACAGCUAUGAACGUGAGGAGAAAACACAAAACAAAGAUAUGUCUCUGCAAAAUAGAAAAUUUUCCCAGAGACUGUCCACCAUGGAAGCAUCUCCUUCCACUCUUCACCCUUACUCUCAUUUCUCACACAAAAGUGCAUCCUGUUUCUAACCUACUCGAUUCAUGUAGCUAGCAGAAAUCACAAUGACAAACCAAGCAAAUGGAAAUAGAUGUAAAUAAGAAGGAAUUCUGUCCUGAUUACUUGAAUCACAGGUAUCAAUUCUGUGUAAGAGUAGCAAUAUUCCUUUCAUACCUUCAAAAUUUCAUAAGAAAGACUCCCAAAAGUCUAAUGGAUGUAAACAAGUUGAGAACUUCAGUGAUCUAAUGUUAAAACCACAAAACCAACUUCUCCCUCUUGUUGAUUCCUUAUAUCCCUUUUCCCUCUCGCUAUACUCAGAGUCAUUAAGUUUUCUCCAGGUAUUAAUAACUACCCACUUGAUGGUGUUUAAAAUCCAAUAGGAAUGGAAAUGCUUGUCUUUUCCCCUCUCUGUGCCCUCCAAUCUCUAUCACUACUACCAGUCGCCAAACUACAAGAUGGCAUUAGGCUAAGAAAACAAACAAGUCAAAGGACUAUGUCAUUUCUUAGCAAUUGUCAUUUUCCCUUUCAUUUAAGAUACAAUUUAACAGCUGAAAGUAAAAAGUGAGAAGAAUGAGCAAUUUUUUUUAUGCAGGGCUCUGUAGCAACAUAACAAUAUUAGGCAGCUGCCUUGAGACACAGCAAGAUUAUUUAUUGCAAGAGGCAGUACAAAGACUAUUGGGGGAAAAAAAACAAAACCUGUGUGUUCUUCCAACUUCUCAGACUGUUAUGAUUUCAAUGUGAUAAUAUUCCCUUCCCUUAUAUGUACACACACACACAUUCUUGUUGAAUUCAAUACAUGAUUUUACUAUGUGGAAGUGCAUCUGGUAGCCCAGUUCACAGGGUCUAGAAGGUUAAUUUUAUAUUCUUUCAUUUGAAAACAGAAGUAAGAUCUGACUAAAAGUUCAAUAAUUAAGUGAUCUGAGCUACAUCAGAAAUCACAUUGCUAAUUUAAUUAUGACAGCGUUGAACCUCCUUGGGCUUGGAUGUCAACACCCAAGGCUGCAAAUGACUUUGGUUUGGGUCAGUCGCCAGAACAUAUAUCCUCAAGGUGCUCACUUGGGUUUGUCAGCCUUUAUUCACUAGCGUCUUUGAUGACAAAAAAAAAAAAAAAAAAAAAAAAAAAAAAAAAAAAAACAGUGGCUGUAUAACCCUGAUCAGGCUCUCAGUCUGUCUAUAAAGACAGAAGGGAUUCCAUCAAUAAAUCUCAUCAUACAUAAAUAUCUGAAGAUGUCCUAACAGGCCACCUGAAGAGAAAGUUCUGCAUUUCAAAGACAUGCUUCCUGAUUCUUUAAUUACAGAACUGAUGGUGAAGUCACAGAAGGCUUCUGUGUGAGCAAAAAGGAACUUAAGUAAAAAAGUAUGCUCCUGGUUAUAAAACAACAGUGAUUGCAGCUGUGCAAUCUAAACUUUGAGGAUAAAAAAAGACACUUUAUAAAAGCACAGCCUCCUGGCUUCAUAUUCAGCAUGUCCAGAGAAACAAAUUUAAAAGAUAUUAGACCAUUCAAAGAUAUUCAGGGAAAGCAGGCUAUUCAGAAAAGACUUAACUAGAUUUUCACCCUGCUGGGGAUGAACAUUUACUUAUUAAAGAAAUAUACUAUAGUAAAUGAAUAUUAAAUAACAUUGUCAUGAGUAUUAAGUGUAUAGAAAGCAUUAAGUACAUAUUGGAAAGCGUGCGGAGAAAAGGCAAACCUCCAACACUCUAGGUGGGAUAUAAGUUGGUACAACCUCUAUGGAAACAGUACAGAGAUUCCUCAGAAAACUAAAAGUAGAAUUACCAUAUGAUCCAGCAAUCAUACCCCUGGGCAUUUGUCUGGAAAAAACUAUAAUUCAAAAGUACAUAUGCACCCCUAUGUUCACAGCAGCAAUAUUCACAAUAGCCAAGACUUAGAAACAACCUAAAUGUUCAUCAACAUAUGAGAGGAUUAAGAAGAUGUGAUACAUAUAUACAAUGGAAUACUACUCAGCCAUAAAAAAAACAAUGAAAUAAUGCCAUUCACAGCUACAUUGAUGGAACUAGAGAUUCUAAGUGAAGUCAGAAAGAUAUAGACAAAUAUUACAUGAUAUCACUUAUAUGCAGAAUCUAAAAUAUGACACAAAUGAACCUAUCUACAAAAGAGAAAACAGACUCAUGGACAAGGAGAACAGAUUGUGGUUGCCAAUGGGUUUGUUCUAAAUGUAAUGUCCUCCACAUUCAUCCACGUGGUCACAUAGAGCAGGAUUUCCUCUUUUUUUAAGGCCGUGUAAUACUGCAUUGUAUGCUCAUAUGACACUUUCUCUAUCAGUUCAUCAAUCAGCAGACAUUUAGAUUGCUUCUAUAUCCUGGCUACUGCAAAUAAUUUUUGCAACAAACACUGGAGUGUUGACACUUCUUUGAGUCACUUUGUUGUACAUCAGAAAUGGGCACAAUGAUGUAAAUCAAUGUAAACACUUAAAUUAAAAAAAAAAAACUUAAACGUACAGCAAUAAAGUUCAAUAUCCAGACCUUAGCAGCUCUAUAAAAAAAGAGAGUAGAUUAGUGGCUGCCUAAAAUUAGAGGGAGCAAAAGUGGCUUGGGAGUGAAAAUAGUGAAUGUUAACCGGUAUACGAUUUCUUUGGGGGAUAAUGAAAAUUCUAAAUGUUUUUUUUUUAGGGAUGCAUCUGUGGCAUAUGGAGGUUACAAGGCUUGGGGUCUAAUCAGAGCUGUAGCCACUGGCCUACACCACAGCCAUGGCAACGCCAGAUCCGAGCUGUAUCUGUGAUCUACACCACAGCUCAUUGCAAUGCCAGAUCCUAACCCACUGAGCAAGACCAGGGAUUGAACCCACAACCUCAUGGUUCCUAGUCGGAUUCAUUUCCACUGUGCCACAACGGGAACUCCUGAAAAUUCUAGAGUUAAUUAAGGCGAUAGAUAUACAAUUCUCUAUGUAUAUCUAUACUUAAAAAAAAAAAAAAACAUUGAAUGGUAUACCCUAAACAUGUGAGCUUUACAGUAUAUAAAUCAUAUCUCAAUAAAGCUUAUAAAGCUGUUUUUCAUUCACUAAAAAACCCAAACCUCAAAAAUUCGGUAUACAACAUGAAAGAAAAUUACAAUCUAAAAUUCACCAAAUUUGGAGUUCCCAUUGUGGCUCAGCAGUAACAAAAUCUGACUAGUAAGCAAGAGGAUGCAGGUUCAAUCCCCAGCCUAGCUCAGUGGUUAAGGAUUCAGCAUUGCCAUGAGCUGUGGUGUAGUUCACAGACACAGUUCAGAUCCUGCAUUGCUUUGGCUGUGGCAUAGGCUGGCAGCUAUAACUGCGAUUAGAUCCCUAUCCUGGAAACUUCCAUAUGCCACAGGUAUAGCCCUAAAAAACAAACAAAACAAACAGAACAAAAAUUCUCGAAAUUUGUCAGUCAUCUCUAUUGACUGACUAUAUAAAUUGUGCUAUAUUCUUAAAGACAGCAAUUACUGAGCUAAAUGAUUUAUGGAAAAGCCUUGCUAAUGAGGAACAAUGAAUAUAUGAAGCCUCUUCUACAAAUCAAAUAGAGGAUAUUCUAAGAAAAGUACAAGAUUCUAAUCGCAUUUCAGGUACUACUUCAACAUUCUGGCCAAGUCUUAUUUAAAUAUUUGACUUUAUUUUUUUAUUCCUUAAAAUUGUUGUAUUUCUAAAUAUAACCAUUGUAUUAAAGUAAUGUGUGUUAAAAGUGUGAUAUGAUGUUUCAGAUCUUAAACUUUUACCACAUGAAAUUUAAUUCGCUGAUGAUUGAAAAAGUUUAUCACUAUAAUGUAAACAUAUAAAUGAAUGGAGGUAAAUACACACUAGAAUUUUGGUUAAUCUGUUACUGUAUUGUGGUAUUAAGCAACUUUAUCAAUCAGGGACCCAAGAAGAAACAAAUAACACAUUCAUGUGGGGAUGUGCCAAGGAAGGUCAAAGGCUAUUUACAAAGCUGUUGGUCACUGUAGAAGAAUUUGAAAAGAUGGUGCAAUAACAGGAAGAGAGAGGGGUUAUCAGAACCUCCAAGAACAGAGUCAUAUAAAAGAGGCCCUCUCAGUCAAAGAACACAGAAGCAGUCCUACAGGGACUCCCAAUGGCCAAACCUAACUGGAAUCAAUAGCCUUCUAAGGCAGACUGGUAUGGAGAAUGAAGAAGAUCUGGAGUAGAAUCAAAAGAUAUCUAGCAUGGGCAACCUAUUUUUAUCCUCCAGUAUCUUCUGGUAUCCUUUAUCUAGAUGAAAACUGUGCCAACCAUUAUGGAAAGUGGCAUGGUUCCUCAAAAAAUUAAGAAUAGAACUACCAUAGAACUACUAGCAAUCUCACUUCUGGUUAUACAUCCAAAGGAAUUGAAAUAAGUAUCUUAAAGAGAUAUCUGUACACACAAGUUCAUUACAGCCUUAGUCACAAUAGCUAAGAUAUGGAAACAACUUAAAUGUCCUUUUAUGGAUGAAUAGGUAAGGAAAAUUCCAUAAUAAUGGAAUAUUAUUCAGACUUUAAAAAGAAGGAAAUCCUGAGGGUUCCCUGGCGGCUCAGUGGGAUAAGGAUCUCUCACUGUCACUGCUGCAGUUAAGGUCACUCCUGUGGUGAGUGUUUGAUCUCUAGCCCAGGUGCAUGCUGCAGGUGCAGCCAAAAAAAUAAGAACUCCUACUAUUUGCAAUGGCAUGGAUGAAGCUGGAGACCAAUAUGCUAAGUGAAAUAAGCCAGAGAAAGACAAAUACUGUAUGGUAUAAGCUGUAUGUGGAGUCUUUUUUUUUUUUUAAGAAAUUUCACAGAAAUAGAGAAUAGAAC
rnacentral:lncRNA from 1 species